rnacentral:lncRNA from 1 species
UUUCGGAUUCUUAAUCUAAAAGCUCUAAUUCGGCGAGAAAUUUUGAAAAAAGUUCGAUUUUCGACCAAGGUCUGUACGUAUGUAUGUGUGUGCGUGUGGAUGUAUGUAUGUAUACAAAAUAUCUCAAGAACGGUAAGUCUUAGGAACUUGGAACUUUUUAUACAUACUUAGGGUACCUAUGGGACGCGACUGUAACAUUUUCGUAAAAAUCGACCAACUUUUUUGGGUCGAUUAAUCAGGCAAUUUUCCGAUCGGUUCCCCUUUUUUCACGAUUUACUCCAAAAUGGUACAUUUUAUGGGGAAAUGUAUUAGAAUAAAACAUGCUUAAAAUGCAUAUUUACACCUAAAAAUAAUAUAAAAAUGUUAAGUUAAGCAACUUUGGGUUUGGUCGGUACUUGGAUUUUUACUUUCAUAAUACCGCCUACAUAGGUUAUACCUAUAGGUAAUAUGAAAGUUUUGUUUUCGGGUCGAUUUUUGACUUUUCGGAUUCUUAAUCUAAAAGCUCUAAUUCGGCGAGAAAUUUUGAAAAAAGUUCGAUUUUCGACCAAGGUCUGUACGUAUGUGUGUAUGUAUGUAUGUAUGUAUGUAUGUAUGUAUGUAUGUAUG